GCCGCCGCCCGCCGCUGCCCGCGCCCCCGCUCCGCUCCGCGGUGCCGCCGGACCAGGACCAUGUCGCUGUCGCGCACGGAGGAGAUGCAUCGGCUCACGGAAAACGUCUACAAGACCAUCAUGGAGCAGUUCAACCCCAGCCUCCGGAACUUCAUUGCCAUGGGGAAGAACUAUGAGAAAGCUCUGGCAGGUGUGACCUACGCUGCCAAAGGCUAUUUUGACGCUCUUGUGAAGAUGGGUGAGCUAGCCAGCGAGAGCCAGGGCUCCAAAGAACUCGGAGACGUUCUCUUUCAGAUGGCCGAAGUCCACAGGCAGAUUCAGAAUCAGUUGGAAGAAAUGCUGAAGUCUUUCCACAAUGAGCUGCUCACGCAGCUGGAGCAGAAGGUGGAGCUGGAUUCCAGGUACCUGAGCGCCGCGUUGAAGAAAUACCAGACGGAGCAAAGGAGCAAGGGUGACGCUCUGGACAAGUGCCAGGCCGAGCUGAAGAAACUCCGCAAGAAGAGCCAGGGCAGCAAAAACCCGCAGAAGUACUCGGACAAGGAGCUGCAGUACAUCGACGCAAUCAGCAACAAGCAGGGCGAGCUGGAGAACUACGUGUCGGACGGCUACAAGACGGCCCUGACCGAGGAGAGGAGGAGGUUCUGCUUCCUGGUGGAGAAGCAGUGCGCCGUGGCCAAGAACUCCGCCGCCUACCACUCCAAGGGCAAGGAGCUGCUGGCACAGAAAUUGCCGCUGUGGCAACAGGCCUGCGCCGACCCCAACAAGAUCCCGGACCGUGCGGCGCAGCUGAUGCAGCAGAUGGCCGGGAGCAACGGCUCCGUCCUCCCCAGCACCCUGUCGGCCUCCAAGUCCAGCCUGGUCAUCUCAGACCCUAUCCCAGGGGCCAAACCCCUGCCGGUGCCGCCCGAGCUGGCCCCGUUUGUGGGGCGGCUGUCUGCCCAGGAGAGCACGCCCGUCAUGAAUGGCGUCUCGGGCCCAGAUGGUGAGGACUACAGCCCCUGGGCCGACCGCAAGGCCGCCCAGCCCAAGGCCUCGUCUCCUCCACAGUCCCAGAGCAAGCUGAGCGACUCCUACUCCAACACGCUCCCCGUGCGCAAGAGCGUGGCCCCGAAGAACAGCUAUGCGGCCACUGAGAACAAGACCCUGCCGCGCUCCAGCUCCAUGGCGGCUGGCCUGGAACGCAACGGCCGCAUGCGGGUGAAAGCUAUCUUCUCUCACGCGGCCGGGGACAACAGCACCCUGCUGAGCUUCAAGGAGGGAGACCUCAUCACCCUGCUGGUGCCUGAGGCCCGCGACGGCUGGCACUACGGGGAGAGCGAGAAGACCAAAAUGCGGGGCUGGUUUCCCUUCUCCUACACCCGGGUUCUGGACAGCGAUGGCAGCGACAGGUUGCACAUGAGCCUGCAGCAGGGGAAAAGCAGCAGCACGGGGAACCUCCUGGACAAGGAGGAGCUAGCCCUCCCGCCCCCCGACUACGGCGCAGCCUCCCGUGCGUUCCCGGCCCAGGCAGCCGGCACCUUCAAGCAGAGGCCCUACAGUGUGGCUGUACCUGCCUUCUCCCAGGGUCUAGAGGACUACGGAGCGCGGGCUAUGAGCAGCACUGAUGUGGAAGUGGCCAGAUUUUGAGCUGACCCUGACUAGAGUUAGUAAGUUGCCCUGGUUUUCUCAUGCUGGUCAGUCUGCCUUCCCAGUGGUUCUGCAGACCCUCUGGCCUUGGCCCUGGCAGGUGGGGACGGGCACGAGGGUCUGCCGAGCCUGCCUCUGCUCUGGGUUCUGGGCUUUCGCUUCCUCUUGGAUUGCUCCUCGGGCUCUGGGAUUUCCUCUCUCUGUCUGGAAGCUUGUGGGCCUGACUGGCUGCACCCCUGCUCUUCUGGGCGUGGUCCGGCCCUGGCCCUCUGCCUGGGUCUCCUGCCUCCGUGGGGCACUUCGGCCACAAUCAGGGGGGAGGCCAGCUUUGGGCUCCUCUGGCUGAGUGUCCCCCGGACCGGCCCCUGUGGGUGUGGGUCUGAGCCCGGCCUGGCCGGCUCUCUGGUUGGUGAGUGCUGCAGCCCCUCGGGGGGCCGGGGAGACCAGGGUCGGUCUUGGGACAGCUCCGUGGCUCAUGCCCACGUGGGUGUCUCGGGCACACCAGAGCAGGUGGACACGGGCUUUGCCGCCUGCUCUGGCUGGACUCACCUCGCACCUGCCCUGACGUGGCUCCACGAGGCUGCAGCAGGCUUUCCAGACCAGGCCUUUGCCACCACGUGUGGGUGCCCUGGCUGGCCUUCUACAGCCCAUCCUGUGAUGGUCCCUUGUACUCAGCCCUGGGAAGGCAAGCGCCAACAGCGAGCGGCGGGGGCGGGGAGCCCAGCACUCUGGGCCCCUGUGCCUGGGACAGGGCGCACUGCUGCCGCCUGUCCCCACCCCCACCCAGUCACCAAGAAGUUUGCCCCAUGAAGCUAGCACCUGCAUCCUCCGUACCCCACAGAGCACCCCAGCAAUGUGGUCCUCCCCAAGGGCAGUGACUGCCCCAGCAGGUCCUGGACUCACUCGCCUUUCAGUGUGUCUGAGCUGCAGCGUGAGGAAUUUCUGGAAAGUUCUGGAGACAAAUGCUCCUGACAUUUGGGGACAGGGUGGAAAGGCCUUCCCUGCCUCUAGGUUCCUCCUCGUCCAAGGGGCCCUAAGAGGCCUGCACCUCCCACCCCCACUGCUCCUGCAGCCCCCGUUGCUCUGGAGGCCAGCCUGGCCUCUGCCUGAGCCCUGGCCCCCAGUGCAGGGCAGUCCCCUGGCCCCCAGGGGUGCCGUGGGCAUCCACACCACGCCACCAGCUGGCUUCCCCGCCAAAGAACCGGCCCAGCCCCGAGACUGGAGAUUCAGCAGGGGGUGGAGAGUCAGAGGCGCCCUGGCCCGCUCUGCCGAGCUGCGCCCCCCAAGGUGCGGUCCUGGCGCAGAGCAAGGUGGACUCAACGCCAGGAGGGCCAGAGUCCUGGAGGCAUGAGAACCGCUUGUGCCUCAGAGGAGAACAUUCCGGAGAAAGUGGACAUCUGCCCCAGCUGCUCUGCUCUCCGCUCCCUCUGCUCCAGAGUCACAGGAGGACAGAAACCGCACUCCGAAACGACUUUUUCACACUCACGUAGUGGACUCAAGACAGUUAAGGCCACUCCCUAAACCUGCGCAAGAUUUGAAUGGGAAGGUGCUGGGCCUCGGCUCUUGGCCCCCCUCGGGCUGUAGGGUUUGCAGGCAGGGGCUCCGUGGCGCCCCGAAGGGUGGCCCCUGGAACCCAGUACUGGAUCUGCCCCCCACGGUGGGGUCGCAGCUCGGGAGCUAGCUGCGGGCCUGCUCCGCUGAGGUGGAUCCAUUCCCUGUCCCAGGACCUGCUCCGGAGUCCUUGCCGGGGUGUGCUCGGGGGGCGGGGCGGGGGCAGUGGCAGCCGCGCCCGUGGGAGACGCCUGGACGGCUCCUGACUUGGAGCAGACCUGCCAUCCCGGGCCUGCUGUGCUCAGGUGGUUCCCGUCGACUGCGCUUUGCUGGCAGGACUCGAGCUUCCUUGUGUCUUGGUGGUUUGUGGUCAGCGUCCGCCGACGGUGCUCUUGGGAGGAAGCCUCUGUCCCUGGCGCUCUCCCCCAAGCAGUGACCCAUGUCCGCAGGACCAGAGACUGUGCGGUGGGCCUCGGGUCCGCAUUGUGUCCUGUUGCGUCAGGUCGGUGUUGACCCGCCCAGGGUCACACAGACGCCUGCCCUCGGGUAGCCCUGGAGCCCGCUCUUCCCCAGGAGGUGGUAGGCCCCCGCCUGGGCCGCACCUCCCCAUGGUGCUGCGGGGUGGGCACGCCCCAGCCAGAGGUCUCUGGCCGGGCCCAGGCAGGGGCCGUGAAGGGGAGGCCCGGGCAGAGUUCAGCCCCUGCCCCUUUUCUCAGAACCCGCGGUGUUGAUGGUACUGCACUCCACGGUCACGCGGUUUUGGGGAAGGAGAUUAGGAAGGUGGGGGUCAGAGGCCAGACACCCUCUCAAGGUGUGGGGGCCUCUCCGGCCCUGCUGCUCCCCCUCCAGCCCCAGCUGAUGACGCUGCUUUGCCACCAAUCCUUUCUGAUGAGGAUUCAGGUGUGCCCAGGGCAGGAUCAAGGUGUGUGCUGCCCAAACCCACUUGGCCAUUCUGCUCUGGCUCCGCUCAGCACGGGACCUGCCCUUCCUUCUCGGCCACGGGGCCUGUGCCCUUUCCUCUGCUCGGUCCCCAAGCCCAGACGAACAGACCUGCCCCGUUCCAGCCCCCCGAAACAUCCUGCCUUGACCCCGGCUGGGGACAGCCACGGGCCUGAAGCCUUCCACUAGAACCAGAGUCUAGUCAAGGUGGCAGGCAGGGCAUGGGCCACCCUCCACCCUUGUCCUGGGGGCAGAUGUCCCCGGUCACAGCAGUCUUGGCCUGGGGAGCCCUGAGGCAGCCGCUGCCCCUGACCAUCAAAACUGAAGCUCUGCACACAUCAGCUGGAGAGAGGACUGGAGCGCGUGGAGGGGCCUGGGGCUGGAAGCGGCCUUGAACCCCGGGGGUCACAGCACUCCGGAUCGGAGGACGUUCACAAGCAGCGCGCCCUCGCGGGAUUCUCGGUCGUCAGCUUGCAGAUGUAGAAGCCAUGCACCAGUAGGUCGGCUCCUCUCCCUAGUUUAUCCUUUCAAAAGUUCAGUCCAAAGUGUCUCCGCGUUUUAGAGAACAGGGCGGUGCCCCCACCCCCACGUGCUCUCGCUGGGCGCUGCACGGAGCGCCCGCCCACCCAGCUCCUGCGGACACCAGCCCAGCUGUGCCAGAGGCGACCGCGCCCCAGGUAACGGCUCGAGAGCCGAGUGCUUCGCCGGGAGUGCGUGCUGUCCGUGCCGAGCCCCCCGUGUCCCACGUUCCAUCUGUGCUGUCACCCCUGGGGCUGCCUGAUGACCCCCAGCCCGCUGUCCUCGGCUGUCCCUCCCAAGCCCAGUGGGGACUCCGAGGAGGGGCUUCUGUGAGGACCAGGCUGGGUGCUGGUCUCUACUGCGCUCAUCUCGUCCCAUCUCAACCUCUUGUCUGGCCAGUCCGUCUGUCCGUCAGCUGUGGCCUCAGACCUGCGGGGAUCGCUGCCAGUGAAUCCCUUCGCCAACGUCCAGCUGAAGC